AUAAAACUCGGUUUUCGAACAUUUCGCUGCCCCAGGAGGGCAGUGGGCCCCUGUCCAAUUCAUCAGUGACCUAAUGAGCGGCCCCGGAGGUCCUGGCCCGCCCAUUCCAGAAGCUCUCUCUGCCUUGUAAAGCCGCCCACCUGGAGCCCAGAGGAGCAGGAACUCGGAGGGGAGCUUAUGCUCGUCGUGCCUGCAGUACCAGGGACGUGGACGCGCCGUCUUGGACCGUCUUACCACCCGCUUGGCCCUGAUGCCCACUCACGGGUGUCAUCCAGACAGUUGGCUGGGAUCUGGGGACUUCUUGUAACACCUGCUAGUGAUUUUGCCAACUUCCUGGAUGCUCAUUUCUGGUUCUGCACAAAAGAGCCACAUUUCCUUUUGGAAUCGGGACCGGGAGACAGACAGCAGCAGGCACUGGAAAUUGUGAGUACUCCCCAGUCUUCCUCCAGCGAUGCUCUGACCCUGUCCGUCCAUCUGUCCUGCCUCCCGUGUCUUUCUCUGCCAGU